UACGUAGGGGGCAAGCGUUGUCCGGAUUUAUUGGGCGUAAAGGAGCGUGUAGGCGGCCAUGCAGGGUCCGUUGUGAAAACCUGGAGGGCUUAAACCUCCAGACGUCGAUGGAAACCGUAUGGCUAGAGUCCGGAAGAGGAGAGUGGAAUUCCUGGUGGUAGCGGUGAAAUGCGCAGAUAUCAGGAGGAACACCGGUGGCGAAGGCGGAUCUCUGGGCCUUACCUGACGCUCAGGUGCGAAAGCUAGGGGAGCGAACAGG
rnacentral:rRNA from 1 species